UACGUAGGGACCAAGCGUUGUUCGGAUUUACUGGGCGUAAAGGGCGCGUAGGCGGCGUGUUAAGUCACUUGUGAAAUCUCUAAGCUUAACUUAGAACGGUCAAGUGAUACUGAUGUGCUAGAGUGCAGAAGGGGCAACCGGAAUUCUCGGUGUAGCGGUGAAAUGCGUAGAUAUCAAGAGGAACACCUGAGGUGAAGACGGGUUGCUGGGCUGACACUGACGCUGAGGCGCGAAAGCUAGGGUAGCAAACGGG
rnacentral:rRNA from 1 species